AAUGUUAAUCUCGAAGCAUUGAUUGCUAAGAAGAUAUUCAGUGAUAAUUCACUGUCACGAAAUUAUUCGAGACCUCUUGAGGAAAUGAUUGCCAGAAGAUAUUCAGUGUCACUGUCACGAGGACACCCUGGAGGCAGAACAGUGCCGUUCACUUCAGUGUCUAUUUCUGCAGAUAUUUGUUAGGUCACAGUGACCUAUUUUCAAUGAAAAGCAUGAACCAUAUUUUCGUUGUGACAUAGAAUUCCACCAUGAGACUUCAUAUUGGGUUUUAUAUACUGGUUAACCCUUGAAAAUAUUGCAGUUGAUAUUGAUAAUGUCAAGGUCACGUGUUCUCAAUAAUAAAAAUCGUUCAAUGUAGUUACAAUUAAUUGAAAUGACGAAGACCUACUAUAAGGUCUAAAUGACUAGGCAAUCAAAUGCAAUUUUCCAUAAUAAUCCCCCAAAUGUUUUCACGUCGAAGGUCAGCAUUCAUGUUUGUUUGUUUGUUUGUUUUUGUUAAGUGUAUUCUAGAUUCUCUGGACAUAGCACUGAAAAACAUUAAAAUGACACAAACCAAUUAAUUCCUAAGAUCGAUUGGUUGGCACGUCACUAGUUCAGCAAUUAUGAUUUUACAACCAGUUCUCAUCACCAGUUGUGGAUGGACGACGUCCUGAGGGUGGCGCUUUGAAGUGAUGAGGUUUUGAGUGACCUUCUAUGAAGAUAAAGGUCACUGGAUGGGUCUGUCUUAAGAGGUGAAGUUAUCAAACCAAGAGUGCUUGCAUUGACAGCUUGAGGCACAGGACUAAUUUCUACUGCAUUUGGCAACAUGAGUAUGAAUCACUUGAUCCACCAAGACUUGAACGAGCUGUGGAGGACAAGUAGUUGGUACCUGACAAAAGCCACUGUGAUGGGCAUUACUUGCACCGGGUACCACCUGGAAAACUCGCAGUUGUGCCCUGAGUGAUUGUGCACCGUCCUCUAAUCACUCGAACGUGAUGCCACACUUACAACUACUGUGGGACUAGGUGGUUUCAAUAUCAUACUUGUGAGGCUGACUUUCAUGAACUAUAGUGUCACGCCAUUUUUCUGUAUCAAACCAUGUAUAAUAAAAGUAUGAAAAAUCCA